rnacentral:lncRNA from 10 species
GCUUUAGCACAUUGAAUAUGUCAUACUACUCUCUCCUGGACUGCAGAGUUUUUGCUGACAAAUCUGCUGACAGCCAUGUUGGAACUCUCUUGAUUGUGGUGAAGCCUAAGAAACACUGUCUAAGCUAAAGGGCCAAGGUCAACAUCAACAGCGAAAGAGGAGACUUUGGGACUUGGAAGUGACUCCUAAAAUAGAGUAUUUUUAAAACUAUGGAACAUAACCUCAAUAACAUUAUUGAGAAUGGCUACUUGGCAAAUAAGGGAACUUUUGCAUCAGAGAUUAUUUAUGAUACAUCACAAUAGCAAUCUUAAAAAUGGAAGCAGAUUCUGAGAGACCUAAAGCACAAAUAAAUGAUAAAGGAUUGCAAGUGUAAAUAUUAGGUUUCUCUAGGAUGAAGAAAUCUCCUUAAAAAAAGGCCUACGUUUCAAAGCCUAGCUGUGCAGGAUGAAUGAAAAUCCAUUUGCCCAAUAAACUAGAAAAUCUAGAAGAAAUGGAUAAAUUCCUUGACACAUACACC